rnacentral:rRNA from 1 species
UACGUAGGGUGCAAGCGUUGUCCGGCAUUAUUGGGCGUAAAGAGCUCGUAGGCGGUCUGUCGCGUCGGCUGUGAAAACUCGGGGCUCAACUCCGAGCCUGCAGUCGAUACGGGCAGACUAGAGUGCUGUAGGGGAGACUGGAAUUCCUGGUGUAGCGGUGAAAUGCGCAGAUAUCAGGAGGAACACCGAUGGCGAAGGCAGAUCUCUGGGCCGUAACUGACGCUGAGGAGCGAAAGCGUGGGGAGCGAACAGG